CCUACGGGAGGCAGCAGUAGGGAAUAUUGGUCAAUGGGCGAGAGCCUGAACCAGCCAUGCCGCGUGCAGGAAGAAGGCCCUCUGGGUUGUAAACUGCUUUUGACAGGGGCCAAAAUACUCAUGCGUGAGGAAUUGAGAGUACCUGUAGAAUAAGCACCGGCUAACUCCGUGCCAGCAGCCGCGGUAAUACGGAGGGUGCAAGCGUUGUCCGGAUUUAUGGGUUUAAAGGGUGCGUAGGUGGCCUUAUAAGUCAGUGGUGAAAGCCUGCAGCUUAACUGUAGGACUGCCAUUGAUACUGUAGGGCUUGAGUACUGAUGAGGUAGGCGGAAUUGAUAGUGUAGCGGUGAAAUGCAUAGAUAUUAUCAAGAACACCGAUUGCGAAGGCAGCUUACUAAGGAGUUACUGACACUGAGGCACGAAAGCGUGGGGAUCAAACAGGAUUAGAUACCCUGGUAGUCCACGCCAUAAACGAUGAUUACUCAUGUAUGUGAUAGUAGUAGUAGUAGCGUCCGACGACGAAACGAACGGUUAAGUUAAAGUACCGUUACCGUUACGGGGUAGGUUACGGACCGGACCGACGGUUAGGUUAACGUUAAAGGUUAAGUUAGGACGGACGUUGAGACGNGCGACGGACGACGACGAGGGAGGAGG
rnacentral:rRNA from 1 species